rnacentral:rRNA from 1 species
UACAGAGGUCCCAAGCGUUGUUCGGAUUCACUGGGCGUAAAGGGUGCGUAGGUGGUCGGGUAAGUCUGAUGUGAAAUCUCCGAGCUCAACUCGGAAAUGGCAUUGGAUACUAUUCGGCUGGAGGGUUGGAGGGGGGACUGGAAUUCUCGGUGUAGCAGUGAAAUGCGUAGAUAUCGAGAGGAACACCAGUGGCGAAGGCGAGUCCCUGGACAACUCCUGACACUGAGGCACGAAAGCUAGGGGAGCAAACAGG